rnacentral:tRNA from 1 species
GCAGUGGGGCUGGGGCUCAGUGGUAGAGCACUUGCCUAGCACGCAUGAGGCACUGGGUUCCAUCCUCAGCGCUGCA